AGUUUUGCGCAGUGGCAGUAUUGCGGCCGAAGAGCUUCACCCAUGGCGCAAUUAUUGCAUGUUGAAAAAUAUUCCCAAAUUCCUGUUGAACCCUUCUAAGAAUUAUAACUAUCCCUGGAGUUUAUUUUCGCACUGAUUUAGAUUA